CCUACGGGUGGCUGCAGUGAGGAAUAUUGGUCAAUGGGCGGGAGCCUGAACCAGCCAAGUCGCGUGAGGGAAGACGGUCCUACGGAUUGUAAACCUCUUUUGCCGGGGAGCAACGGGCUCUUUGCGAGCGCCCAAUGAGAGUACCCGAAGAAAAAGCAUCGGCUAACUCCGUGCCAGCAGCCGCGGUAAUACGGAGGAUGCGAGCGUUAGCCGGAUUUAUUGGGUUUAAAGGGUGCGUAGGCGGGCUGUUAAGUCAGCGGUAAAAUUUCGGUGCUCAACCCCGGACUGCCGUUGAAACUGGCGGUCUCGAGUGGGCGAGAAGUAUGCGGAAUGCGUGGUGUAGCGGUGAAAUGCAUAGAUAUCACGCAGAACUCCGAUUGCGAAGGCAGCAUACCGGCGCCCUACUGACGCUGAGGCACGAAAGCGUGGGUAUCGAACAGGAUUAGAUACCCGUGUAGUC
rnacentral:rRNA from 1 species